rnacentral:misc_RNA from 1 species
UCCGGCUUAAAUGUAAGUUGCAUUAGCUGGAGAUAGCUAUUUCUUCGGACCACUUACAAGGUGCUGCAUGGUUGUCGUCAGCUCGUGCCGUGAGGUGUCAGGUUAAGUCCUAUAACGAGCGCAACCCCUGCUGUUAGUUGCCAGCGAGUCAAGUCGGGAACUCUAGCAAGACUGCCAGUGCAAACUGUGAGGAAGGUGGGGAUGACGUUGUGGAAGCAAGCU